UGGAGCAGGCUGCUGGAGGCAAAGGUCAUAGCCCUUAGCUGCCAGAGUUCAAGGAGUGUUUGGACAAUGCUCUCAGACCCUGUGUUUGAGUUUGGAGUAGUCCUGUGUGGGACCCGGAAUGGCUCCCUUCCUACUCAAGGUACUCUAUUAUUCUAUGACCCUGAGUGCAAAAUAACACCUGCCUUCUAAUUCAGAGCGAUAUUUUUCAGUGGUAAAGCACUGGAUUUGACAGUGUGCACUGUCAAGCUUGGAGCGUCCCUAGGCAGCCUGCCUGUGACUUCAGUGCCAUCUGGAUUUCUCGCAGAAGAUAAGAAAGAGCAGUGCUGAAGCUAAAGAAAACAGGAAGAUCCCAUGAAGAGAAUAUAAAAAGCAACUGGAUUAAACUGCUUAUUACAAAGCAAGCACAAGUAUUUUAAAACUAAUCCUUGACUAUGUCACCUCUGAAAGCUUCAAAGACUAGUUGUUUGUUUUUUCUUUUUCUGAACCUUGUCACCAUGAAAGAAGAUUGAUUUGCUACCUGCUCAGAUGAAUAAUUGUUGAUGACAAUACAUUUAACUUUAACAGCUUUAAAUGCAACAAAUUUCAAAAAGAAAUACGUUUUUUUUUAAAUUGUUAUGCAUAAAGAAAGAAAUCUUUCUUUAAGUACGUAUUAGCAGAAAUUACUUUUCAAAUAAUCUUCAUUUAAUAGUGUAUGGAUUUUUUUGUAAGUUCCAAAGUGUGUAUGGCACAAUUCUGUUCUCAUCCCACUUUACUUGCUGAGCAAAUCUGUUUUGGUUUAUGUCAGCCACUGUUUAUCAAGCACUCUCCUUUUUCAAUACAUCUCAAAUGAGAUAAAAAUGUGUCUAGUGUUGUUGACAUCAGACCCCUGAAACCAGCUGCAGAGUUGCUAUUGUUUGGUUUCAAUGCUCCCUAAAAUGAAUUUCCUUUCUGUUGAAUCCAAGGGAUAUGGUGAGUGACAGGCCUUCUCUUUUUUUUAAUCACACAGAUCUGGCUGUUCCUCUAGAUGCCCUGAUAAGCAGCGCAUAUGUGUGUGAAAGGAAGGGAAACAGGAAUUCCUUUCGGAAGGGUGACAGCUUUAGUAAGACUAAAGUGAGUUCAAGGCAGAUGUUCCUGGCAGAAGUCAACUGAAAACUCACAUCCUAAAUUUGCACAGCUGCCAGCAAAGAAACAUACAUUUAUCUUGGCUCUUUUUUCAAACAUCGAUCUUGUUAAAAAAAAAAAGAAAAAAAGAAAAAAAAAUCAAUCAAAAGCUCUAUAAAGAGCUAGCUUUGCAGCAAGUAUAUAGAAUGCUGACAUGUUGCAGCAUGAAAAAAAUGUGAUGAUUUAAUUCCCAGAAAAUUUCAGCCCAGAAGUAAUGUUAAUAUUCCUUGGUUUAAUAUGUGAAUGUUUCAGUCUUAUGGGGUACUUCAGGGGCAAAACAUUGCAUUUAAUUAAGCAUUUGUUGGUAUUGUAAUCAAAGUGGUGGAAAUGACGCAAAGAUCUUUCCUCUCAGAGAACAAGAAGUGAAACUGUGUCUGAUUCUAUGUCUAUAACAUGAAUUUGAACCUUUCUUUCUUUCAGACAUCCAGGAAAUAUGUUACAGACUCCACUGAUGCUCCUGGCCUCCUAACUAGUACACUAUUCUUGGUGUGUGCUUCCUCUUGUGAUUCUGUUCAGCACUAGCCUCUUUGAUUUUCCCAUUCUUCUUGUUCUGUGCUCCUCUUAGGCAGAGCACUACUGCUCUCUAGUUUUAAAUGAUAAUAAUAUAGAACAACUUCUAAUGCCUCGGAACUCAGAGGCAGUAUAGACAGAUAGAUUAGUUCAACAGGGUGAGAAGCAACGUGGCUUAGUAGAUCAUGUAGGAUGCAACCUUCCUUAUAAGCAACUUUAGAAAUACUAUAGAAGCUAAUAAAGCCAUCCUGAAAGCCCAUGAUUUUGGCUGGCUGCAGAAUUUAACUUGAAGUUCUGAGAGAAGCUACAGUUGUGGAAUGCUAGAUAACAUGAUAAAGUAUUCAGAAGAAGCUGAACUUCAUGGUAGUAUAGUUGAAGAAAUGUCAUCACGGCAUAGAAGUAUUUAAGAAUGGAGAUUUCAAUUGCUCUUCAAACACUAUAACAAGGAAAAUAAAAUUGAAGCUUUGUAGCACGCUAGGAAGGUCACUUAAUCUGAGCUCUGAUAUUCUGUCUUCUACUUCUGAUUAAAACAAUAAUUGUUAUACUAAGAGCAUGGGAUUAUAACAUGCUGAAGAGCUAACUGAAGUUAAUGAAUUUUGAAUUUUGACUUUUUUUUAAUUCUAAAAAAAUAUCUCCAAAGAGCAGAUGGUAUUAAAGAAAAAUGUUAUAUCUACAAAUACCUGAAAACUGAAGAAGCUAAACUGAUUUGGAUAGAACUAAGCCCAUUUACUAGAUGGUGUCAAAUGACAGCAUAAACAAGACAUUUUCUUUCUUUCCUUGCUUCUUAGUAAUAUCUACUGUCUUUCUCUCCCUACUCCCUGUACACAAUUGCUCUCAAGAUGUUUGUCUGAUCUUACCAUGCUUCCCUAAAAAGGACUACCAAGACAAUAUCUAUAAAAAAACUCUUCCACUGCCCCACCCUUUUCAAUAUUGUGUUCUUGCGCCCCGCCAGGACGAUGGUAAACAGACUACAGUGAGUCUGUUUCUUCUAUGGCUCUCCUCCAGGGAUCCUGUCUAUUCUUUGUGAAAUAACCAUGAGCACUAAGUCACGUGGCCGGAGGCAGCGUAUUUUAAGAAUUGAAGCAAUGCUCCCCACUGGUGCCCUUGAGAUUCUGCGUAAUAUUUUGUUGACUAGGCAGCUCUAUGUAGGGAAUCCUGGACAGAUGUGAAGCUAGCCCAGAGGAGGCAGAUUACAUUAACAGCUGUUGUGAAGUGCUUAAUUACUAAAAGCUCUGCUAGACUAAUACUUUCCUCUUGAUUCCAGAGGCCUCUCGUGUCUUUUCUGAUAGAGCAAAUUCCCACCUGCUCUCCAAGGAAGCUGCUUAAUUAGAUUAGAAUGGACCAUUGGAAGGCUGUAAAGUGCAAUACACAGAGUUAUCUUCUACACUGUUUCUGAUUAUUAGAAUUGUGCUUGAAAUGAUUUAUAUUCAAACAAAUUCUCUUUUAAGCUUUUGAACAGUGAUUAGAGACAAGUUAUGUCACUAGGUAAUGUAUUUGUUGUUCCAACUGUACCUUUUCAUCAGUGAGAGAACUGAUAUGGCUGAGCUAUUAAAUAUUUUUUUAAUGUUUUUGACCCCUACCAUCUCAAAUUCUUGUUUUUCUCCCUUCCCUGUGUGACUCUCACACUUCUCAGUCCUUUGCCUCACUCACCAUUACACUCAAAUUUCCUCACAUAUACUGUGCUGCUCUCUACUCUAGUGCAAGGAAACAAAACUUUUAGUGCAGAAUGUAUUCACUGUGAGGAUUGCUUUAGACAAAUUUUGGACUCCUUGUUCACAGAUUAAUUAAUCUUCUAUUUGGGUUUUUGUUUUGUUUUGUUUUGUUUUUUAACAUCCUGGCUAUGUAUAAGAUUUUCUGUGUGGAUUUAUAAAGGAGUUUAUUUUAAAAUUAUUAAACAGAAUUGUUGUAAAUCAGAAAAAGACUAAUUGUCGAAUUAUGUGAGAAACCACUUCCCAGUUUCUUUGAGUCUUCGGACUGUUCCUGGAGUGAUGUGAUAAGUUCACCAUUCAGAACUACUUUGGACAAUAGGAUUUCAAUAUCUGGGUCUUAAUUCUUUAUCUAAAUUUCCGUUUUUCAAGUAUACACUAUAGCAAAUACGAUUUCAAAUUAUAAAGUAACUUGCUGUAGUAUCAGAUCUCAAAAUAUGAGCAACAUAAAUAGAUAUGUAAAUACAUAAAAAGCAGAAAACAAAGAACUUUUUUCAAAAUGUGUCACAGUUGCACAAAUUCCAACAUGCACAACCAUAUGAAAUUGCAGUCUUUGGAAUACAGCCCGUAUGAUGACCUCCUGAUGAUCCUUCAUCAUAAUGACAAGAUAUCUGAAAGAUCCAUAUAAUACAGGCCAGUAUUGCAUUAAUCCAUAUGCAGUUUGAUCUACUCAUCAGUGACAAGAUCUGCCUCCAAAGCUCUGUUUGAUGGGAGACACCAGCAUUGGUUCAUCCCUGGAAGUGACUGAGAUGUAUUACUAUUGUGCACCAGUCCAGUGGCUACUGUGGCCUUUAAUAAUAGAAUCGAGAACUACAUGCAUUGAACUGAUGUAUGCUGGCUCUUUGUUUAAUUAUUUGCUUAGUAUGUGUUUAGCCAUUUCUCCAAAGAAAAUGGAAUCUUACUUAUUCAAAUGGUAGACUUUCUUAUCAGGGCAUAUGUCUGCUUCAUUUAUAGAUAGGGGAUAAAAACUGGAACUUUAAACAUAAUAUAUCCCAUAUCUGUACUUGGAGGUGAGAUCAUGCACAUGCUAUAAUUACAUUCUUGAUUCUGCUCUCUGUUAUACAUACCAGUUAACAACCAGCUGGACAACUUCAAAUAGUCAAGAGAAUCCUGUUAGGAAAAUUCUUUUCUGCAUAAGUAUGAAUGCUGAAGUCUCUGUAAGCUAAAUAUCCACUGAAAUUAAGGCUUUAUUGCUUUGGAAAUAUACUUGGGAAUCUAGGGGUAGAGAUGAGGGAAGAGCAACUUAUCAUCAUCUACCCACCCUAGUCUGUAGACUGAGAUGCUUUUUGGAGAUUGAGGGAAAGAAUAUGUUUGCUACAGAAUCAUAGAAUCAUAGAAUUCUUAAGAGUUGGAAAGGGCCUCUAGACUAGAAGGCUAUCUAGUCCAACUCCCAGUCUGGGACUCCUUUUGCUAAGUAUCAAUUGCAUCCAUAUGACAAAGAUCCACGUUUGUCCAGGGAUAUUGACUGGGGCAGAUUAUAUUUGUGAAAUUCUUAUUUUACAGAAAACAGUAUGUGUGAAAGAAUUGUCACAUUCUUCACUGAAAUGAAGGGAUUGCUCACAGAUUUCACGUAUUUGUCAUCCAUUCCCCGUGUAGGAAAUCCUAGGUCACUUCUGAGCAUUUAUUAAAUGUGUGAGUGGGUGGAUGCAUGGGAGGGGACACUUUGUUGUGACACACAAUUAUCCACAUGUAAAAGUUAUGCCAGAUUCCUGUAGAGGCCAGAGUGACCAGGAAACAGGCUGCAAGAGUGACGUAGGGGAAAUUCGAUGAGGUUGCACAAGCAGAACACUUAGCAAUAAGCAGCAAAAUGUCAAAGUUAGCAGGGAGGAGACUCUUAUGUGUGCUAGGGUGGAGUUUUCUUUCCCUUCAUCAAAUUUGCAGUGGUAAUAACAGUUGACAUGUGAUUUACAUCUGCAUCUCCUAGAGACUACAAAGCAUUAUUUGCUAGUUUGCAAUUGGUUAUCCUUAUCUUGUUUUAAGAAAUACAAUCUGUUUCCUCUUUCUCAUCCUGAGACUUGCAGCCAGAUGCUUCAGCUGAAGCUUCCUUUGCUGUCACUGAGUACAGUUUGCCAGGAUUUUAAGUGAAAAUAUAUUAAACUGAAUGAAAACCGUAAUUGUAGAACCUUGUGUCAACUGUCACUAUUCUAACGGAUGAGAUGUGGCAGAGGUACAUGGCAUAGGGCUAUGGAUUGUAUGAUUCUGCAAUUUCCCUAGAAAAGAGUCUAAGAAGCACAGAGCUGAAUGGAAGAUUAUGGAAGACCAGCAGCACACUGCCUGUCUGAGCAUGGAGGAGACAUGGCAUCAUGGUCUUUCAUCCAUGCUAUUUGUUGUGGAGUAGAGCCUGCAGCCAGAGGGAGAACAAAGUUAGAGUUCUAUGAGUGCUCCAUUUGCAUAAAAAAUGGGCAUUUAUUAAGUAACACUGAAACUACUCCUAAAUCUCUGAGAUUUUCUCAAAAUGUUUGAGGCACUUAUCUUGCUGCUUGCUGUUACAACUACAGUUUUGACCUGGGCAGACUGGUGAGUGACACAGACAGACUGGUGAACUGGCUGGAGAGGAACUUGGUGCAGUCCAGCAAGGGCAAG